UUGAGCUGCGUCACCCCGCUGUAGUCCCUAAUGGACUGGCCUGAGGUCUCGCAACAAACAAGCAGCUGGAAGAGAGUAGGUGAGUUGUGUUUAGUCUCUUUGCUAAAGAAAUUAGUCAAAGCUAAAAAGAUGUUUGGUGUCUAGUACUAUGGCUGGGACCCUAUAUGUCCUGUUGAUGAAGUUAGGUGCUGUUCUGAACAUUAUUUGUGGCUAUAGAGUGGCGUUUUGGUUGAGGUUUGUUUAUGGCUCCUCAGACCGCUGUGUAUUACUAUCCUGCGGUCGUUACCAAAGUUGGUAUAACUAGAGAAGCAAGUGGUC